UAACCCAUCAGUAAUGAGGUGUUUGGUUGC
rnacentral:piRNA from 1 species